ensembl:lncRNA
UUUGCCGUGGAAUCGUUUUCGCACCCAGAGGCCUAUCGUUGAAUCCAUCAAGCACGCAGGAUCCUUAGAUCACUACUAGUUCAGACACCUGUUUGACAGAGGGAGGGGGGAAGGGAAGGGUUGAAAGAUCUCUUCCCCCAUCUCCUGAAUCCGAGGUUCAGCUCCCUCCACUGAUUUGGAUACAGAGCAUUUUUGCCUGACCCAAAGCUAAAUCCUUCUGCCUUCAGAUGUUGGUGGAUCGGCAAGCGCGGGACCUGAACAACCUUAGUUGCGAGUAAAGGGGAAAUCUGUGCUAUCUAUGGCCCUCUCUGCUCUGGGCUUUAUUCCGGAUUAUAUCCCGGAGUAGAGGCCUGACCUCCGGAGGGCAGCUCUCUAUUCGGGGAUACAAUCCAGAAUAAGAUCCAGUGCAGAAAGGGCCUAUAAACUUUUUGGUAGACAGACAGAUGCAGACCCAAAGCCUUUCCGAGGAACAAUCCGCACACGGAGAGCUGUCGGGACAGGCAGAACGAAUGCGUGUCUGCGCGGGCGAGAGAGCUGAGCAAGAUUUUAUUGCGACGAACGAGGCAUGAAGAGCAGCUGUCUCUCUCCGCACACACGACCGCUUUUACGUUAGAGAAGCCCCAAACGAUUGCGCUGAUUUUAUUUCAAAACAAUCCUCCAAGUCUUUCAUGGGCAGAGUUUGGGAAAGGUUUCUGAUCCAAGAAAGCUUUCAGCGGCUUUUCCUUCCUUAUUCUCUUUAUUACCUGCUUAAUUCUUUCCUCAUUUUUGGGGCCUCCCCUCUCCCCCUCCUUUAAUUCCCCUCUCGCUCACCCUCUCUCCCUUUCUCUUAUGACUUAAUAAAAACCAAAUCAGCGCAAUGCUUUCGAGUCUUCCUAAAAAUCACUUCUGGACGGGCAGAAGGAAAUCCUCAGAGAAAAGGUCCAACAACAGGGUGACUGUAAUUCUACAGAUGAACUGGAGGGCUUUUCAAAUGUACAUCCAGAAGGGGCCUGUAUUUACAAGACCAGUGGAUUUUCAAAAGAAUUCCAGGACAAAGUUGUGGAAAGUUGUAGAUCAAGGGAAGAUGCAAAAUAAAUCCAAAAUCCUUGAAUAUCUCUUAGUGGACAAUCAAGGGAAUUAAUAAGAAGUGGAAAAAGCGCGGCACUGCCAAGACCUUGCUAGAUGAAGAGGACCCUCCAAACUGGAUGACCAUGCAAGAAAGAGAGUAAUCAGAGAGACUACUAAGAGUGUGUUCAGGUGUGCUCUGGAUGAAUUUGAGUCUGAAGUGACAGAGAUUUUCCCAGCAUGUCUUGAAGCCUUGGAAAGGUUGCCUUUUUGUCGUUUAGGAUUUUAUAACAUUGAAGGCAUCUCUUUCUUUAAGUCUGGUUGGGUGGGAACUAUAUAAGCAAAGAGGUGAUGGUUUCCUGCCAUGAGAGUUCCAGUGGCCAAUCAGUGGGUAGCACCUGUAGUUGUGGAGAUGUUGCCUGACUUGGGCUGCGGUCACACUUCAAGAAACUAGUCCGUGUUAUACGCAGUUCGAAUUCAAACUGUCCCAGCCCCGCUCACACCCAGCACCUGAAAAUCCAUUCUCCAUUUAAUCUUCACUGCUCACACCUUCCUUUUCCCGUUCUUAGUUGCCUGAAACGGUACCCAGUGGUGUAGCUACAUGAUCCGCCGCCCGGGGCGGACCAAACGGCGGAAGCCGAGCAGGGCGCCCCACCCUGCAGCUGCCUAC